GAGAUCCUACGGGAGGCAGCAGUGGGGAAUAUUGCGCAAUGGGCGAAAGCCUGACGCAGCGACGCCGCGUGAGGGAUGAAGGUCUUCGGAUCGUAAACCUCUGUCAGCAGGGAAGAACGGUCACUGGGCUAAUCAGCAGUGAAUUGACGGUACCUGCAAAGGAAGCACCGGCUAACUCCGUGCCAGCAGCCGCGGUAAUACGGAGGGUGCGAGCGUUAAUCGGAAUUACUGUGCGGAAAGCGCUCGUAGGCGGUAUGUCAAGUCAAGGGGGAAAUCCCCGCGCUCAACGUGGGAA
rnacentral:rRNA from 1 species